AGUGAACGCUGGCGGCAGGCCUAACACAUGCAAGUCGAGCGGCAGCGCGGGGGGCGAACCCUGGCGGCGAGCGGCGGACGGGUGAGGAAUUCGUCGGAAUCUGCCUUUUUGUGGGGGAUAACGUAGGGAAACUUACGCUAAUACCGCAUACGAUCUAAGGAUGAAAGCGGGGGAUCGCAAGACCUCGCGCGAUUGGAGCGGCCGAUAUCAGAUUAGGUAGUUGGUGGGGUAAAGGCUCACCAAGCCAACGAUCAGUAGCCGGACUGAGAGGUUGAACGGCCACAUUGGGACUGAGACACGGCCCCAGACUCCUACGGGAGGCAGCAGUGGGGAAUAUUGCACAAUUGGGGCGAAAGCCUGAUGCAGCGAUGCCGCGUGAGGGAAGAAGGUCUUCGGAUUGUAACCUCUGUUUUCAGGGACGAUAAUGACGGUACCUGAGAGGAAGCUCCGGCUAACUACGUGCCAGCA
rnacentral:rRNA from 1 species